AGAGUUUGAUCCUGGCUCAGGGUGAAUGUUGGCGGCGUGCCUAAGGUAUGCAAGUCGAACGAUUCUUUGGCUUUUUUUACUUCGGUUUAACUAGCCUUCUGAAUAGUGGCAAACGGGUGAGUAAUAUGUUGAUAACCUGCCUUGAAGUUGGGAAUAGCCUGUCGAAAGACAGGAUAAUAUCCAAUAGUCUGUAUUAGCUUAGGCUUUAUACAGUAAAGCUCCGGCGCUUCAAGAGGGGUCUGCAUUCUAUCAGCUUGUUGGUGGGGUAAUGGCCUACCAAGGCUAAGACGGAUAGCUGGCGUGAGAGCGUGACCAGCCACAAUGGGACUGAGAUACGGCCCAUACUCCUACGGGAGGCAGCAAUUAGGAAUCUUGCACAAUGGGGGCAACCCUGAUGCAGCGACGCCGCGUGGAGGACGAAGGUCUUCGGAUCGUAAACUCCUUUUAUGUGGGAAGAAUAACUGACGGUACCACAUGAAUAAGUGCCUGCUAACUACGUGCCAGAAGCAUCGGUGAUGCGUAGGGCACAAACAUUACCCGGAAUUAUUGGGCGUAAAGAGAUGCGUAGGCGUUUUUGUAAGUCUGAUGUUAAA
rnacentral:rRNA from 1 species